rnacentral:rRNA from 1 species
UAGGGUGGUUAUAGCAUUGGGGCUCACCUCUUCCCAUCCCGAACAGAGAAGUUAAGCCCAAUUGCGCCGAUGGUACUGCAUUAUUGUGGGAGAGUAGGUCGCUGCCUUUC